rfam:Capsicum annuum cultivar Zunla-1 chromosome 4, whole genome shotgun sequence
AUGCCACGAUGAGGACAUUUUCUUAACAUUGCUUUUAAUCUUUCCCAAGCCUGAUAAUCUGAUCUAGUUUCAGUCUGCAAAAAAUUAGAAAUCUUUUGUCUUAAUUU